CUGUAAUAUCCUUGCCUGGGAAAGUCCCUGGACAGAGGAGCCUGGCAGGCUACAGUCCAUGGGGUUGCAAAAGGGUUGCAAAAGAGUAGGACUGACUUUCUGACUAAAGGAAAACAAGUCACAUUAUAUAUCAUCUGUUUACUAAAGGAACUCUGUCUUAAAGUAGAAAGAUAUUGGGUUGGUCAAAAGUUUCUUUAGUUUUUUAAGUAAAAAUAAAAGGCGUAUUUUGUAUUUCACCAAUCUUACUGUGUGACAUAUCAGACUUAUGAUGUUUUUCCUACGGACCACAUGGAAAUUAUAACCACUUGGAGAGAUGAGACACAUCUGGCUUUCAAGCGACCCAGGUUCAAGUUCUGAUGCUACUUAACUGUGGGCAAAAACCAAAUGAAGUGUUUACCGUUAUUAUCCCUAUUUGAUGAAGAGGAUACCGAGGCUCAAAGAGAAUUCAUAACUUGCCCAAGAUGGUCUAAUGUCAAGUAAUGAAGAGUGAAUGACCCCGCAGCACACAUACCAGCUGAGACCAACCUUGGAUUGGGGGAAAACUUCCAGAGGCCGAGCAGCAGCAGAAAUGUUUCUCUGUAUUGUGAGGCCGCAAGAUCACCCAGGGAGAGUGGGGCCAAAUAGGAUGAAACAUCUGACACACUGAAUGUAUGAGUUACUGGAAAAGCAGAGAUAAGCUAUGUAGAUUAGCAAUAUGGAAACAUCCUGAAACCACUUUGAAGUCUCCGUAAAUUGACUAGAUUCAAGUUUCACAGAUACGGAAACUGGUCCAUGGACAAUUUGCUACAGCUGAAGAACACAGUCUUGCUUGUCAACCACCAGUGUUCCGUGUGAGCAUAAUUCUGAAUCACAACUCAGAAGUGAGAACGGAAAGGAGAAGCCCUUCAUAAGGGUGGAUUCUUUACCCUCUGAGCCACCAGGGAAGCCCAUGAGCACCCCACCCCACCAAACCCCAGCAAAUCACCUUUGGCCCAAGCCUCCAGCAGGAAAGGAAAGAAUCAGCAGAAUACGGUAGAAAAUGUGAACUCAACAAAAUGUAGACGUGCUAUUUAGCAGCUGGAGGUGUGACUAAACAUGACAAGAUCUGUCAGCUGUGCCUACAGCGUCCAGUACAGUGGCUGCCAGCCUAUGUGGUCAUGGGUAUUGAGAUGGGCAGUCUGAGGAGAUAGGACCUGUACAUGUGAAAUACACAGUCUAUUUUAAACUUUAAGUAUGAUGAAUGCCAAAUAUUGCACUUGUGAUUUUUAUUACAUGUUGAUACCAUGUUUGGAGUAUUUUGAUUUAAAUAAAAUAUAUUAUUUAUUUAAUUUUAUCUAUUUCUGUUUAUAGUUUUUAACCUGGUUACUAAAAAGAAAUUAAAUACAUUUGUGCUUUACAUUAUAUUCUAUUAGACAACAUUUUUCUAGACUGGGAUCUUUUUUUUUUUAAUGUAAAGAUGUUAACUGUUUUAGACUUGUGUCUGUCACAGUUACUCAAAUCUACAUAAUGCACUAGCAUCAAUGGGCAAUAUGUCAACAAAUGAAUGUGGCUGUGUUCCAAUAAAGCUUUAUUUAUGGAUACGAAAUUGUAAAUGCUAUGCAUUAUCAUGUACUAUGAAAUAUUACUUUUUCUUUUUUUCUAACAAUUUUAAAAUGAAAUAGCUAUUCCUUGGCCUAUAAAAACAGGUUCCUCAUGGGCCAGAGUUUGCUAACCCUGUAUUUUAUUCUAUAUUUUACUCUGCAUUUAUUAUCUUUGGCCCUUACUAAAAUGACUUAAUUUAUACCCUUAUCUAAAAUUGUAAUGUUUAUAGCUUAAUUAUAAAGUCCCCUCUCAUCUGUCAAGAUGUUGGAAUUCCAAGUGACAUAGCAGGUAAAUAACUUCACAAUUUGAAUCAAAGAUAAAAUAGACCAAGAAUAAAAUAAGUUGAUUCUAAAAUAAGUAGUACAUUUCCUGAUGCUAGAAGUGUUUAAACAGAGGGAAGUUUCUAGAAAGGGAUUUUGUAGAAGAAAAUUAAAUGCUAAAUGUAUGGUUUAAUCAAAUAUGUAAUAACCCCUUUUCAAACACCAAACACAGAUUAUUUUAUUUCGUUGUUAUAUGUUAACUCAAUUUUAGUUGAAACGUUGUGGGAAAAAUGCAACAAGAUUUCAGAGUUCAGGUUCUAACUCCUAUCAUGGAAAUUUAUUAUAUUGUGAAGGUUUAGUAGGAAUCUCAGAUCUGAUGGCUUGCAUUGUUUUCAUUUUGGUAGUAGAAUUCAGUGAGGUUUUUAACACAAGGGGAUGAGAUUAUGUAGAGUAGAUUAAUACAAGUCUUUCUUUUAUCUAUCAAAGUAAUAUUAGUAAAUUAUCUGCAAUUUACUUGAACACAUAACCAAUGAUUUGAAAUAAGUUGAUAAUUAAUAUUUUAAGUUGUACUUUGAUAAAUACCCUCCCAAUGUUUUGAUCUUUUCUGACAAUUCCUAAUGCUCUUCAGCUGUUUUAAGUAUAGAAUAUAUGAUGCAAUUACACUGAGUUUACGUUUCUUGAGUUAAUAAAUUGGUCUUAAUCGCUAAUGGAUUCUUUAUACUGAUUGAAUUUGCAUGUUGAAUUGUUUUAAAUUGCCUGACCAUAUUUCAAGGUUAAAUACAAAAGUAUGUGGAGCUAUUAAUUUUGUGUUGCUGUUGUUGGUUUGAAUGAUUUAGGUACUUGAAGCUAGAGCAGGAAUUAAAUUAAUUUGUGCCUUCACCUUAGCCCAGCCUUUCUCUUUGUAUAAUGUAUCUGUGACAUUUGUCUUCAUUCCGAGAGAAGAUGAGGAAAACUCAGAACGAAUGACCAGUUCUCAUUAAACUGAUGAUUUUGAGGGGGAUUUCCUUUGAUUCCAUGUAAUGAUACAUUACCUUCCCAAAGAAUGAAUUUAGCAAUGAGAAAUCUAAAUCUGAAUGUAUACCAACCCAAAUCAAUCAAAUCUUCCUAACGAUUUCAAGGGCAAAAAGGACAAUAGCAUAUCCUGCAGCUGCUGACAAAGAAAUCAACUUGUCUGGUGCUUGGGUCUCAUGUGUGAGGAACAAAUAUUUCCAGCAGAUGCUGUGCUUUCUCAAAUCCACAUGAGCUGGACAUUUACAACU